AGUCAUAUGCUUGUCUCAAAGAUUAAGCCAUGCAUGUCUAAGUAUAAACAACUUUAUACCGUGAAACUGCGUACAGCUCAUUAUAUCAGUAAUAAUUUAUUUGAUGGUUUCUUACUACAUGGAUACCCGUAGUAAUUCUAGAGCUAAUACAUGCGUCAAAACCAAACUCUUACGGGGAUGGUUGUAUUUAUUAGAUAAGGAUCAAUGCUUGUUCUGCAAGCUUUUUUGAUGACUCAUAAUAACUGUUCGAAUCGCAUGACCUCGGUCGGCGAUAGUUCAUUCAAAUUUCUGCCCUAUCAGCUUUCGACGGUAGUGUAGUGGACUACCGUGGCAUUUACGG
rnacentral:rRNA from 1 species